GCGGCGUGCUUAACACAUGCAAGUCGAACAGAAAGGCCCUGCUUUUGUGGGGUGCUCGAGUGGCGAACGGGUGAGUAACACGUGAGUAACCUGCCCUUGACUUUGGGAUAACUUCAGGAAACUGGGGCUAAUACCGGAUAGGAGCUCCUGCUGCAUGGUGGGGGUUGGAAAGUUUCGGCGGUUGGGGAUGGACUCGCGGCUUAUCAGCUUGUUGGUGGGGUAGUGGCUUACCAAGGCUUUGACGGGUAGCCGGCCUGAGAGGGUGACCGGCCACAUUGGGACUGAGAUACGGCCCAGACUCCUACGGGAGGCAGCAGUGGGGAAUAUUGCACAAUGGGCGGAAGCCUGAUGCAGCAACGCCGCGUGCGGGAUGACGGCCUUCGGGUUGUAAACCGCUUUCGCCUGUGACGAAGCGUGAGUGACGGUAAUGGGUAAAGAAGCACCGGCUAACUACGUGCCAGCAGCCGCGGUGAUACGUAGGGUGCGAGCGUUGUCCGGAUUUAUUGGGCGUAAAGGGCUCGUAGGUGGUUGAUCGCGUCGGAAGUGUAAUCUUGGGGCUUAACCCUGAGCGUGCUUUCGAUACGGGUUGACUUGAGGAAGGUAGGGGAGAAUGGAAUUCCUGGUGGAGCGGUGGAAUGCGCAGAUAUCAGGAGGAACACCAGUGGCGAAGGCGGUUCUCUGGGCCUUUCCUGACGCUGAGGAGCGAAAGCGUGGGGAGCGAACAGGCUUAGAUACCCUGGUAGUCCACGCUGUAAACGGUGGGUACUAGGUGUGGGGUCCAUUCCACGGGUUCCGUGCCGUAGCUAACGCUUUAAGUACCCCGCCUGGGGAGUACGGCCGCAAGGCUAAAACUCAAAGGAAUUGACGGGGCCCCGCACAAGCGGCGGAGCAUGCGGAUUAAUUCGAUGCAACGCGUAGAACCUUACCUGGGUUUGACAUGGAUCGGGAGUGCUCAGAGAUGGGUGUGCCUCUUUUGGGGUCGGUUCACAGGUGGUGCAUGGCUGUCGUCAGCUCGUGUCGUGAGAUGUUGGGUUAAGUCCCGCAACGAGCGCAACCCUUGUUCACUGUUGCCAGCACGUUAUGGUGGGGACUCAGUGGAGACCGCCGGGGUCAACUCGGAGGAAGGUGGGGAUGACGUCAAGUCAUCAUGCCCCUUAUGUCCAGGGCUUCACGCAUGCUACAAUGGCUGGUACAGAGAGUGGCGAGCCUGUGAGGGUGAGCGAAUCUCGGAAAGCCGGUCUCAGUUCGGAUUGGGGUCUGCAACUCGACCUCAUGAAGUCGGAGUCGCUAGUAAUCGCGGAUCAGCAACGCUGCGGUGAAUACGUUCCCGGGGCUUGUACACACCGCCCGUCAAGUCAUGAAAGUUGGUAACACCCGAAGCCGGUGGCCUAACCGUUGUGGGGGAGCCGUCGAAGGUGGGACUGGUGAUUAGG
rnacentral:rRNA from 1 species